UUAAUGUAAAAUAAAAAUAAGGAUCUUUAUUCACGAUGGCCAGGUUAAAACUCACAAAAGUAGAGCUAAUAAUAAGUAUGGGCAAUUCUUGCAAAAAGCAAGAAAAAGUUGAUUCACCCAAAGACAACAAGACUUCACAUUAAAUAAAUCUGUAAUAACGACAUCUAUUUGUCUCGGUCUGAUGCACUAUUCGUGGUUCGUACUUGGUAUAGUACAACCGGUAAAUAUGACUACAGUACAGGUGUUACAAAAGCGCAGGACUUUCGAGGUUAAUACAUGUCUGUUAACACUGAAUAAAAAUUAAAAAUAUGAUUACGAGUAAGUACUUAAAUGUUCUCUUAAGAGGACAAAUAUAAUUAAUAGACAUCCUACAGACAUCCAGGCCCAAUGUACUUUUAAAAGCUACCGACAAGAGCUAGGUUCUUAAUACACACAAAAGUCAGUAAUUUAGGCAGAUUUUUUCGUAGUUAGUAAUUAGUUUAUGUUUAAACAUAUGUUGUGUACUUUGUAUGAGUAAAUUCGGUUUUUACAGUGUAAUAAAAACAAAUUUAAAAA